AUUGAACGCUGGCGGCAUGCCUUACACAUGCAAGUCGAACGGCAGCACGGGAGCAAUCCUGGUGGCGAGUGGCGAACGGGUGAGUGAAGUAUCGGAACGUGCCCAGUCGUGGGGGAUAACGUAGCGAAAGUUACGCUAAUACCGCAUACGAUCUAUGGAUGAAAGAGGGGGCUCGCAAGACACCGCGCGAUUGGAGCGGCCGAUAGCAGAUUAGGUAGUUGGUGGGGUAAAGGCUCACCAAGCCGACGAUCUGUAGCUGGUCUGAGAGGACGACCAGCCACACUGGGACUGAGACACGGCCCAGACUCCUACGGGAGGCAGCAGUGGGGAAUUUUGGACAAUGGGCGAAAGCCUGAUCCAGCCAUGCCGCGUGCAGGAUGAAGGCCUUCGGGUUGUAAACUGCUUUUGUACGGAACGAAAAGGUUUGGCCUAAUAAGCUGAGCUCAUGACGGUACCGUAAGAAUAAGCACCGGCUAACUACGUGCCAGCCGCCGCUGUAA
rnacentral:rRNA from 1 species